rnacentral:rRNA from 1 species
AUGAGACAGAAAAAGGAUUUAUCAGGCCCACCACAUCGUUUGCUUUUUAUUCUAAGAAAAAGACAGGAGGAGAAAAUCGCCUUCAGCCCCUUCUCUGCCGUCCGCCUCGUCCUCUUCUCCUGCGCCGCCACCCCACCCCCUCUAUCCAGCGGUGUCGCCUCUCCUUCCCGGGACUGGGACGGGGAUGGGGGGCCCGGGGGCGGCAAGUUCCGUUGGAUGGUGGCGGUCGUCGCCUCGGAGGGCGCAAGGGGAGGCGUGCUGCUCGCGUCACUCGCGGAGCUCUGCGAGGCGCUCUCGUUCUGCACGGAGGACGCCGGGGGCUACUUCCCCGUCGAGUCUGCCGCGUCGUGUGGCUGGCCGGCGCCGAGGUCGCCAGCCCCGACGAGAUGCUGCUCGCCGUGCGCGCCAUCACCUGCAGGUGGUUGGAUAUUAGUUAUGAAGGUUGUCCCUGGAUUUUUGCUCUAUCGAGGACUGCAUGAGCUUGGUCAAUAUGCAUUCUCUGGAAAUUCUAUGGGAGCCAGCCGUAAAGAAGGAAUUCCUACUGUAUCCUGUGGCAUUCUUAGUCAGAAUUUGUUAUUGCCAUCGGAAGGUGUACUACUUGACCAUGUAGGAUGCAAGGUGUCACGAUGA